UACGUAGGGUGCGAGCGUUAAUCGGAAUUACUGGGCGUAAAGCGUGCGCAGGCGGUUUUGUAAGCCAGAUGUGAAAUCCCCGGGCUCAACCUGGGAAUGGCAUUUGGGACUGCAAGGCUGGAGUGUGGCAGAGGAGACUGGAAUUCCUGGUGUAGCAGUGAAAUGCGUAGAUAUCAGGAGGAACACCGAUGGCGAAGGCAGGUCUCUGGGCAUUAACUGACGCUGAGGAGCGAAAGCAUGGGGAGCGAACAGG
rnacentral:rRNA from 1 species